rnacentral:misc_RNA from 1 species
GAUGAAGAACGUAGCGAAAUGCGAUAAGUAGUGUGAAUUGCAGAAUUCAGUGAAUCAUCGAAUCUUUGAACGCACAUUGCGCCCCUUGGUAUUCCAUGGGGCAUGCCUGGUCGAGCGUCAUUUGUACCUUCAAGCUCUGCUUGGUGUUGGGUGUUUGUCUCGCCUCUGCGUGUAGACUCGCCUCAAAACAAUUGGCAGCCGGCGUAUUGAUUUCGGAGCGCAGUACAUCUCGCGCUUUGCACUCAUAACGACGACGUCCAAAAGUACAUUUUUACACUCUUGACCUCGGAUCAGGUAGGGAUACCCGCUGAACUUAAGCAUAUCAAUAAGCGGAGGA